UUUAUUUCUGUAAUUUUCCAUUUUGUGUUUGCAGACUGAUUUCAAACUACAGAAAAUGGAACUAUGAAGGAAGGGGUAGAGUUUCAGUACCUCAUUUUAUUACUAGUUCUGAAAUGUCUGACCAUGGAAAUUUAAGUGAGUAUACUACAAAAAAAUCUAGGGAAGAUGACAAAAACUUUGUUGUGACAUGAA